CGGCUGCUCCCUCCAGGGUGGUCCUGAGUGCGGGGCGGAGGUCGCGCUGCUUUCUCGGGUGCCGCCGGGCCGGGCUCAGAUGUGGCUUUUUCGUCGUUACGGUUCUUUUUUUUUGGGGGGGGGGGCAAUGAGAGGGGUUCGGGUUAUGACUGUUAAUAAUAAUUCUUUCAGUGUUUCGGAGGGCGGGCGGGCCGGCCGGCGGGGAUGGCGGACCGGAGGAUGGCUGGUGUUCGCGGCGGAGGGCGGUCCGGGCUGUGGCCGACGGCGGUGCUGCCCUUCCGGCCCCCGCGUCGCCCGAGCCGCUCGCUGGUCUCCGCCUACGACCCGCACCGUCCCGUGCCCCGGCCCGAA